CCUACGGGUGGCAGCAGUGGGGAAUAUUGGACAAUGGGCGAAAGCCUGAUCCAGCCAUGCCGCGUGUGUGAAGAAGGCCUUCGGGUUGUAAAGCACUUUCAGUGGGGAAGAAAGCCUUGGGGCUAAUACCCUCGAGGAAGGACAUCACCACAGAAGAAGCACCGGCUAACUCCGUGCCAGCAGCCGCGGUAAUACGGAGGGUGCGGGCGUUAAUCGGAAUUACUGGGCGUAAAGCGCGCGUAGGCGGUCUGAUAAGCCGGUUGUGAAAGCCCCGGGCUCAACCUGGGAACGGCAUCCGGAACUGUCAGGCUAGAGUGCAGGAGAGGAAGGUAGAAUUCCCGGUGUAGCGGUGAAAUGCGUAGAGAUCGGGAGGAAUACCAGUGGAGAAGGCGGCCUUCUGGACUGACACUGACGCGGGGGUGCGAAAGCGUGGGUAGCAAACAGGAUUAGAUACCCGGGUAGUC
rnacentral:rRNA from 1 species